AACGCACAUUGCGCCCUUUAGUAUUCUGAAGGGCAUGCCUGUUCGAGCGUCAUUAUCACUAAUCAAGCCUGGCUUGCUGUUGGACCUCUUGUCGUUAAAAAUCGACAGGCCCUAAAGAUAAUGGCGGCGUUUUUUGGACCCUAGAUGCAACGAGCUUUCAUUAGCACGCGUUUAGUUGGGACCUUUUAACCCGGCCUUUUUUAAACCAAUUUUCUAAGGUUGACCUCGGAUCAGGUAGGAAUACCCGCUGAACUUAA
rnacentral:misc_RNA from 1 species